UGCGCAGACAGCAAGAGGAAGAGGAGAGGAAGAGGCGGCCGCCUUCUCCCGAGCCGAGCACGAAGGUUUCAGAGGAAGCCGAGUCCCAGCAGCAGUGGAUACUUCAAAAGGAGAACAAGUUUCCCAAAACGGUUUGCCAGCUGAACAGGGAUCUCCACGGGUUAGUUACCGCUCUCAAACCUACCAAAACUACAAAAACUUUAAUAGCAGACGGACAGCCAGUGACCAGCCAUGGUCUGGACUGUGAAGUUCACUACCAUUUGUCAAGAAUCACCCUUUCCAAAUCCUCUGG
rnacentral:lncRNA from 1 species